GAUGAACGCUGGCGGCGUGCCUAAUACAUGCAAGUCGAGCGAACAGACGAGGAGCUUGCUCCUCUGACGUUAGCGGCGGACGGGUGAGUAACACGUGGAUAACCUACUUAUAAGACUGGGAUAACUUCGGGAAACCGGAGCUAAUACCGGAUAAUAUAUUGAACCGCUUGGUUCAAUAGUGAAAGACGGUUUUGCUGUAACUUAUAGAUGGCUCCGCGCCGCAUUAGCUGGUUGGUAAGGUAACGGCUUACCAAGGCAACGAUGCGUAGCCGACGUGAGAGGGUGAUCGGCCACACUGGAUCUGACACAGGGUCCAGACUCCUACGGGAGGCAGCGGUAGGGAAUCUUCCGCGAUGGGCGAAAGCCUUACGGAGCACCGCCGCGUGAGUGAUGAAGGUCUUCUGAUCGUAAAACUCUGUUAUUAGGGAAGAACAAAUUUGUAAGUAACUAUGCACGUCUUGACGGGACCUGAUCAGAUAGCCACGCCUAACUACGUG
rnacentral:rRNA from 1 species